rnacentral:rRNA from 1 species
UCCACGCCGUAAACGAUGUCAACUAGCCGACUGGUGCAUUGAGCACUGGGUGGCGCAGCUAACGCAUUAAGUUGACCGCCUGGGGAGUACGGCCGCAAGGUUAAAACUCAAAUGAAUUGACGGGGGCCCGCACAAGCGGUGGAGCAUGUGGUUUAAUUCGAUGCAACGCGAAGAACCUUACCUACUCUUGACAUCCACAGAAUUUGCUAGAGAUAGCUUAG